CUGCUUUCUGUUUUCUCUCAAAAAGCCGUGAAUGAUGAGACGACAAAAUAUUGGAUUGUUUGUGCUCUUGAAACAGAUGUCACCUGAGUUGUGACAGCAGAAAUUUAGACAAUUAGGACACUGACCCUGGGGCGUGUGUUUCUUCUGCUCUCCUUGUCCUCCUGUGCCUGGAGACAUGCUGUUGAAAGGACCAUCAUUUCUCCCAUGCUUUGUUGGUAACACGUCUAUGUUUCUGCCUUCAAAAAGGAAGAGGAGUGAGAAUUUUCAAGAGCAGGCAUAUCCUUUCUUCUCUGGAUCCCUGGAGACUGACACUAGAAGCCUUGUUAGAAUGAGGACUUCUGGGAAGGCAGGAGGAGAGAAGAUGUGACUUAGAAACAAAGAACAUCUAGAAGAGUCGAAUGCCCAACUGCUCGUAACUCAAGCCAAU